rnacentral:lncRNA from 1 species
AAAUGUGACUUCUGAAAGACAGCUUAAGCACUGGACCAUCACCUACAGCACAGAGAACAUGUGAUAACGGCUCCUGAUACUAAUGCUGACCAUGAGUAUAGAAGGGGAGGCUAUCCAGCCGUAUUCUAUAUUUUGAAAUUCCAGAUAGAAUGUCACAGUGAGACUUUUGAUCCGAGGCUGAGGGCCAAGUUCCUCCUCCACCUGAAGCAGCCUGGGAAGGCAGACCUAGCUAGGACCCUCCCUUCAAUAAGGGAUUGAAGUUUCUGGGGGUUAAAUGAAGUGAAUUGGAAAAAGAAAGACAAGUAAAAAGUAGACAAAGAAGACCACAAUUUAAAAAAUAAAAACUGCAGUUGCAGGAUGCUGCCCAGCUUAAAAAGUGUUUUUCUUCCUAUAUUUUUUCCUCCCAAGACACAAAUAAGACCAGGCAAUUCCUUUUUGCCUACAUAUGCUCUUUCUUAUUCCCUUUUCACUUGUUAAAUAGAACUUUCCUGUGCAUGAACCUUCCCUCUUGCCCUUGCAGCAAGAGAUGUCACCUUGUACCUAAAAACCAAACUCCCCCUUUCUAUAUUAGAAAGUUCUCCUGUUGUCUGCCCCUAAAUCUCCCACAAAAACACCAGUGUUAGACUAUGAUGCACCUCACGGUCCCUCAAGGGUCCACACUCUUACAUCUUCGAGUAUAUCUUAUACCUUUAAAAUUCUGCCUAAUAAAUUCCUUUGUGCUUAUUGACCCGAAAUUUUUUUUUUCCUACAGGUAGAGUGGGUUUAGGUUCCUCAUCUCCGGAAUCUCCCAGAACCCUGCCAGGCAGGACAGCACCAAGACCUGGGCCAAGCCCACUGCAUCUCUGGCUCUAGGAAGGAUGUCGCUUUACACAGAUACAAAAAGAGGAAUUCAGGUCUUCAGUACCCCAUCAGCUCAUUUUGUGAUGUGAAAGCACCAAGCAAUGAAGUCCAGGGACAUGGGCUGGUUCCCAGCCUGGCUGCUCAGGGCAGCUGAUCAUGAGCACAUGGUGGCUGCUUCUGUGGGUGUCCCUGCCUUGGCUCCCCGGGAGAGUUGGGGAGGAGAGGCUGAGGCCAGAGCAGUGAUGGGGAGACGCUGUGAACACAUGUGUGCCAGGAUGAAGCAAACAGAGAAAGGCUUUACCCACCAAACCCAGAGAGCCCACCUGCAGAGAAGGUGCCUCUGA